GUAAAAAUGAGUAAACUCCGACCAAAAAUUGAACUUAGUUUCUCUCAAAUUAUUAUAGUCUGAUUUAGUUUUAGUUAGGCUUAAUUGCAGUCCUCGUUCCUUCGUUUCUCUACUCUCCAUCGAUCAACUCACUAUCUUAUAUUUUCCCUUUUCUUAUAUCAAUUUCCCCCCAUUUUAUUUUCUGUUGUUGAAGGAUUGAUGACUGUGUAUUUGUUGUGAUUUUUUUGCUGAUCAGAUCUCUACAGUUUGCAAAGUUUUAUUGUUUGCUAAAGCUUGGUGCCUGUGGGUUUUUUGCUGAUCUCUUGUCUUGUUAGUUUACUGUGUUAAAAUCAAUUUCGUUUUUGAAAGUAUUAGGAUUAGAUUCAUAGUCACAGAAUUUCAAGUGAGUCUCGAAUUUGGGUGAUCAUAUGAGCAAUUGAUAGUUAAGUUUAAGUGAAAUUUAAUUAAAAAAUGGCCAUUUGUUUUCUUGUGUUUAUCCAUUUAAGUGAAAUUUAAUUAUGAAUCUAUCUUUUCAAAGCUCCAGUGAAUAAUUCCCAUAAAUUAAACAACUUAUGUGGGUUCUAUUUAAACUGUUAAGUGGUUUUUUUGAUCUUGCGUGUAUGAUGAUGUUGGUAGUAUGAUUAAAUUUAAUGUUUGAAGAGAUUGCAUUAUCAGGUAUCAGGAACUAUGGCCUAUAAUGUUUGAAAUUUCAGUAUUUGAUUAGUGGAAGAAGUGGUUAGGAACUACAUGCCUUAUAUAUGAGUUUAAAUAAGAAAUGGUGGAUUUUACUUAAUAAUGGAAAAUGAUGCCUUAAAUGUAAGCAAAAUGUAUGUGAAUUCAUUCUAGACUAUAAAUUGUCGCUCAUAAAUAGCAUAAAUUUUUCAAACUAUUGGAUGCCUAAAUGACCCGAACGGAUAUUAUUUGUUCCAUCAAUGUUGUUUUGGAUGUCUAAAUGAAGUAUUAAGAAUACUUUACUUGUGGUUGGUAUUGAUGCCGAGAUGACCAUACUGAUGCCUCAAAUUUACUUCCAAUAUCGAGCCUUUGUAUUUGCUGAUUUGCGGUGAACCUAAUCCAAGGACAGUCAGACUUGCAGUGUUGUUGGUCAUAAACUUUUUGUGGGUACUAAUGGGAUGAAUCCACCGAUGGAUUUGCAUAUUCUUUGCAAAGGUUGGAAUGUCCAAUUAUAAGAGAAGGGCCAGAGGCAUGUGAGGGUCAUAGCAAAACAAUUAUUGACCAACGACUCUUCAUCUUUUGUGGUUGUGGACAAUCUGCUGAUAUUAACAACGAUCUUUACAUAAUAUAUACUGAAUACAGGUAAUUUUCCCUCAUCAUACCGCAAUAAUGCUCAUUAAUAUUUAAAUGAGACCUCAUGCAGGUGACAUAAAGUAGGAUAGAUUGACCAGGAUUUCUUAUUCUAUUGAUUAUAUUUUUGCAAACUAGUUAAAACUGGUCAUACUACCUGAUUUGCUUUUUGAGGCUCCUUAUAAUUUCAAUUGUGAAUGAAAUUAUAAUUGGUUUAA